AAUUCAUUUCCGAUCCGCCGCGCCUGAAGCGCCAAGCGUAUGGGGCGGCGGACGUGACCGAAAUACACCGGUUUCAGAACCGACGGUCAAAGGGCAGAGCGGGAAACGGCUCCGCCUUCCGUGCUUGAAAAGGAGAAUGG
rnacentral:ncRNA from 1 species